rnacentral:rRNA from 1 species
AUUGAACGCUGGCGGCAUGCCUUACACAUGCAAGUCGAGCGGCAGCGCGGCCUUCGGGCUGGCGGCGAGCGGCGAACGGGUGAGUAAUGCAUCGGAACAUGCCCAGUCGCGGGGGAUAACACUUCGAAAGAAGUGCUAAUACCGCAUACGUCCUGAGGGGGAAAGCGGGGGAUCGCAAGACCUCGCGCGAUUGGAGUGGCCGAUGUCAGAUUAGCUAGUUGGUGGGGUAAAGGCCUACCAAGGCGACGAUCUGUAGCUGGUCUGAGAGGAUGAUCAGCCACACUCGGACUGAGACACGGCCCAGACUCCUACGGGAGGCAGCAGUGGGGAAUUUUGGACAAAGGGGGCAACCCUGAUCCAGCCAUUCCGCGUGAGUGAAGAAGGCCUUCGGGUUGUAAAGCUCUUUCGGCAGGAACGAAACGGUGGGCUCUAACAUAGUCCGCUAAUGACGGUACCUGAAGAAGAAGCACCGGCUAACUACGUG